AGUGAACGCUGGCGGUAGGCCUAACACAUGCCAGUCGAACGGCAGCACAGUAAGAGCUUGCUCUUACGGGUGGCGAGUGGCGGACGGGUGAGGAAUACAUCGGAAUCUACUUUUUCGUGGGGGAUAACGUAGGGAAACUUACGCUAAUACCGCAUUCGACCUACGGGUGAAAGCAGGGGAUCUUCGGACCUUGCGCGAUUGAAUGAGCCGAUGUCGGAUUAGCUAGUUGGCGGGGUAAAGGCCCACCAAGGCGACGAUCCGUAGCUGGUCUGAGAGGAUGAUCAGCCACACUGGAACUGAGACACGGUCCAGACUCCUACGGGAGGCAGCAGUGGGGAAUAUUGGACAAUGGGCGCAAGCCUGAUCCAGCCAUACCGCGUGGGUGAAGAAGGCCUUCGGGUUGUAAAGCCCUUUUGUUGGGAAAGAAAAGCAGCAGGUUAAUACCCCGCUGUUCUGACGGUACCCAAAGAAUAAGCACCGGCUAACUUCGUG
rnacentral:rRNA from 1 species